UUUUUUUUUUUCCCAGAGCAAAUUCUGUAGAAUUAGUAAAGAAAGAAAUGAGAGGAAGGGAAUCAGUUCCUGCAGGCCUUUGAAAAGUAAUUUAUCUAUUUCAACUUGCAAAUCGCAAUUCAGGUAGUAUUUUUAACACCAUGUCCAUGCCUAACUUCUCUUUAAUGCAUGAGGGGCUUGGAUCCUGUGUGCUUGCCUUCAUCUUUAGAUAUGAAAAAGAGUAUCUUAGAAUUUCAGUGCCUCUUGCAGUUUCUUACAAAAAUAGUGCCUCCCUACAACACGGAUGCACUUUGAAGAGAAUUGCACAAAAUUAUCACUGAAAGAUUCUUAGAUUCUCUCUUGUCAGGAUCUUAUAAGUUAAACAGCAAUGUUAAUAUGCUUUUUUAGUUGCUGUGGUGUUCCUGCUGUUGGUUUAUUCUGGUAUGUUGAUGGCUUCAAUCAGACCAGCUGAUUGCCUUCUGUUAGGCAAUAUUUCUGCAAAUACUUCUGGCAUUUUAUAUGUAUACUGCAGAAAUUCAGACUGCACCUGCAACUAGCACCAUGAAUUCGACUCUUUCACUGAUCAGUUUUUCUCUGGCUCACACCCCUAAGAGAAAUCAAGUCUUUUCAAUCCAUCAUGAGCUGCUAUAAAAACUUGCUUCAUAGAAUUUUGCACUUUCCACUAGCAAUGCUCAGAGCUGAAAAGGCACAACAGCUAUAUGGAUCACACUGCAACCAAAGACUAUGAUCAUGAAGUCAUUGAAGAAUAAUCUAGCUAAGUUUCUGUGCUUUUUUAUAAAGGAUCACAUUUUCAAACUUGGAGCCAUAAUUGUUAGGCACUUCUAUAAAGUUCCUUCAGUGCUGAAUACCAACAGCAGGCAUUGAAACUUAGAUUUCCUCAGCACCUCUAAAAGUCAAUCUAUAUGCAGUUUGACUGCACAAAUAUGAGGCAAUAUAACUAAUCCAACUCUGAAGAGUUGUUCUGUGCUAUACAAUAUACUUCUAGCUUAAAAGUGGGACAUUUCAAACCCCUCCAGCUACACAGAAAUAGAAACCAUGCCUGUUAAGAUACCAUUAUUGAAAGAUUCCUUUCCUCCUCCUCCCCCUCAACCAAUCCACUGUCUUUGAAAGCAUAGGCACCAUCUAUUCUGGGCACCGCUACGUUUCAGUGUAGAGCAACACUGGUCCAUUAAUGACCUCUUUGAUGAAAAUAUCCUAAUAACCAGCACAUGGGAGCAACAGAGAGGGUGGGAAUCCUGUUUCUUCACCACCUGUCCCCACACAUAUGCAGAUUCUCACUGCCUAAUGGCACACAGGGAUUGUGCUUUGUGCUGGAGCCAGAGCUCAGCACCUACCCGUCAUCACCUCCCAUUGCUGCAUUUACAGCUUUUAUUUAGCAAGAAUUUAAUAAGACUGAUUGUUGAUGCCUGGCAUUUUGGAAGGUAGAAAUGUCAGGGACAGCAAACAAAAACAACAGGCAACAUAUGUCCUUGAAGAAGAUGACACAAGCCUUCUGACCAGCCUCAGCAAUGUGAAGCAGCCCGGACUAGAGUGUCUCUAAGUAAUUUGUAAUGCUUUGUAAAAACGUCUGCCAAAAUAAAUUGAGCAAGAUCUGUAGAAGUCUGUAAUUCCUACCUUUAACUAAAUUCUCAAAAUCUUAACAAGAAGGAAUUAGGUUAAUAUAAGAUAGUUACAGUAAGAAUACUUUCAUAGAGCUCCUUAAAUCCAUAAAAAAUUAGAGGUCAUUACAAAAUAAGAAACACUUGUCUUUACAUGAUCUUUAUAUGGGAGAUCAGUGUUGCUUUGAAAAAAAAAAUUAAAACUGAUAUAUGAAUCACUUUAUUAAAAGUUAGGAUAAUUUUACUGUUUGUUUAAUCAGAAGUAAACUGAGAACAGACCACAGUUCUGAAGUAAUGGAAGCUUUAAUGAUAGUGAUUGAGUCACUAUGAAAAAUUUUGGCUCACUAGAGAUCAGUUUAACAAAUAUUAACAAAUAGUUCUGCUAAGUGCUAGUUUCUGAAUAUUUUGAAAACCAGAUCAAUAACUAACUAUACUUCAGUAAAAUAAGGUGCAAAAAUGUAGAUUCACAUUUUAAAAUCUCUCUGUGUGUACUUCCUUCAUUUGGACAGAAAUAGCUUUCCUGGAGAUUUCUGUACUAGGGUGUAGCCUACUAGCAAUGGUAGUCUUCUGCUACUGAAAUAAAUCUUAGUUGCUUUUCCAAUAUUAAGCAAUUCGUAUUCAGGAUAUUUCAAAUUAAAUGUAAAGUUGUUCACCUUUGUGUCAAAAGGGAGUGAUUUUUAGCAUCUCAAGCAUGUUUACACCAGCUGCCCUGCUUGAGUACAUAGAAGCUUUGUGGUGGAGCUUGGCAGCAGUGAUGCAUCAGUUACUACCAGACACUGACCAACAACAUUGAUGUUAAAUAUUUGGCAAAACCAAAAUUAUUCACGUGGAAAACUAAUUCACACUUAACAUUUUAUUCACUUAUGUGUUCUAAAGCAUGGUAAAUAUUCUCCGAAAAUCCACUGGACACGUUUCUUGAACAGGGCAAAUACAAAAAAAAACCCAAAACCCUGAGCAGCAAGCCCAGCACAUGUUGGCUACAGCAUCUUGGUAAUUAUUAGUCUCAGCUUAUCAAGUCAUCUUACACAGAAUGGAAACAAAAGGAAUAAUCAGUAUCAUAUUUACUGGUAAGAACAGAGGAAAAAUAAGAUGUCUGCAGUCCAGCAGCUGGUCUGUGUUCAGCCUAUAACUCUACAGCUUGUGAAUUGGCCACACACAGUGUGUACUGUGAAGGUGUACAAAGCACCUGCAUGAUUUACUAACUCUAAUGUCAUUAGAAUUAUUUCCAAAUGUUUUCAUAUGUUGUCCCCCAGGGAUUAGUUGCCUUGGGAAUCACUUGUAUUAUUUACCAUUAUUUUCCUUACUGACAUAGAGUGACCCUGACUGAUAGCCUUAACUGGUGCAGAAGUGGGGGUAAUGUACUUUUUGACCAUCAGUCUCAUAUUCUGAUGCUACAAAAUUGCCAUGAUUUUAAAGAUAAGUAAUCCUUCCCAAGCAUAUUGCCAAGCCUGUGUUAAAAGGUCAACGUUUAUGCUAUUUUGCGUCUUCAGCAGAAAAAAUAAAGCUGACAGGAGUUAAAAACUGAUCUGCAUAGUGCCAAGGAGUGUGUAUAGUGAUAUAACACCUACCUGGGAUACAGCAUCUGGGCGCAAACACAUGUUUGUAGCUACAUGUAGCUCUUGACAAAACAUUUUGUUUUGUUAUCUUGCUAUAUUGUAAAACUGAAGUGCAUGAAGCUCAUAAAGAUAGGUGAAGUAGUAGUAGUAGUAGUAGUAGUAGUAGUAGUAGUAGUAGUAAUAUUAUUAUUAUUAUUAUUAUUAUUAUUAUUAUUAUUACUACUAUGUGAGAAUAACUUGUUUCUAGAAACCAAAAUACAAAACCAGAGAAAAAUGAGCACAUUUUCAGCUUUUGGGGCUAUUUUCGUGUCUUUAUUUUUAAUGGGGGUAAAUGUGUUUUGGUAAUUUCUCUAAGUAGAUGGCAUCCUAAACUGUCCCAGAUUUUAAUAAAGUUUAGUGCUAUCACAAUUUCUAUGAUAAAUUUCAAGGAGUGGAGGCAUUGUUGCCGGUAAUUAUUGCUCAAGUGUACUUACAAUGGCUUUUUGGAGCACUAGGUUUUUCCCAUACUAAUACUACUGUUAUUCGUUUUAUGUAGUCUUUUGUUUAGCAAAAAGAUAAGAGUAUUUAUUAUCCAGCAAAGUGGGCUAAUUUUGCAAUGAUAUGCUCAAAAUCCUCUGUAUAUUGUUGAAUUAAAAAAGAAAACAUAAUGACAAAUAACUAGGAGCAUCAGUCAUAAACAACACAAUGUACUUGGUUUAUUUUACAACAGCAAUUUUAAUUCCUUCAUAAUUGACUUGUAAUUUACCAUUUUAAGAAAAUGUACAUCAUCUGUUACUAUCUGGGUUUUAUGUACUUCACUCUGAAAAAACACAAGAGAAUUAGGGUAAAAGUGAUUACUUGCUGUACUGAGUUUAAGUCUACCACCUUUUUCUUGCAAUAAUGUGAAGGUAGUUGCUAUUAGCCAGCAGAAUGGGUCUCCAAGCUAUAAAAAUUCAUCGGGUAUCUCUCAGACUUCUGAGAUAGGAACAUUAAGGCAUUUUGGCAGCUCUCAUUAGGCAAAUCACUAAAAUCUGUCUGAUCUAGACAAGAAUCACACAAACUAUUUUUGGACAUUCAGCGAUUAUACUAGCUCGGUAUAGAAAAUUAAUUCAAGGUUUUGACUUUACUGAACCUUUAAAGUCUAGAGACCAAGUCCCUGUGAUCAUGAGGCCAUCCCUGUCCUUGGAGGCCACACAUUGUGUACAGCUGCAAGGCAUCCCUGUAAAUUCAUCUGGAUAUCCAGACUAUGUAAAGAAAGGAAUUUAUACCAUGGGUGUAAAUGAGUUCUCACCAAGGCUUUACACAAUCCAUAUCUUUCUUAUGGAAAGGCUUGGAGCACUUCAGAAAUCUCUUCUGCUUUUGUUACAGAAGGGGUUUAGAAAUCUUCUGGUGCUCAUUAACAUGAGUAUAUGUCUAGUUUGGGAGUUUACCUGUUGUAUUACUACUGUUGAUCUCAAAUGCAACAUUUCACUGAUUGCUGCUUAAUUUCAUGUUGUUGACAGAUCAGUAAAGCACUCAGAUCCCAACUUGCUUUAAACCAUGUGGACUGAACAGGUUUUCCCUGCAACACUAAAGGAAAACAAAUAACCAACUCAGUUGUGUAGAUCAGUUUAAAACAUCUCAGAUAAGUACCACUGAAGGAAAGGAUCCUGUAUUCUAUAGAGAGAAUGCAUUCUCUAGAGAUUGUGGCUUUGAGAACAUAUCACCCCAGCACGUUUGUUCACCCCUGGAAUGCAUAAGGACUGUUGGUCUCCCCCCCAUAAGGUUUUCUUCUUGAGUGGUCUGUGGGCGAAAAGGGAAAGCCACCCAGUGUGUCAUUGGAGACGUUGGUGUAGGCUACUGAAGAUGGAUGGAUUCCUAUCUGAAACGAGGAAACACUUGUGUCUGUCUGAACAAACUGUUCUUUUAGGCAAAACACCAUUGUUCACAUUGAAAACAGCAGCAGAAGAUGCUACUGCCUCUGCCCACUCCUGGUACAAAACAAGCAUAAUGAUCUCUUAGAAACAACCAGGAAGAAAAGAUGCAGGCACACAAGCACACAUCUAUACCUAUGCCUGUAUCUAUGCCUCCAGUGAGCUCCUGAGUUAGUGGAAACAAACCUCACGUUCCAGCAGCACUGGUAAGUGCAAUGGAGGGCCUGUGCUGAGGACACCAGUUAGAGACAGCAGAGCUGCAUUCGGGCAAAGUUGGAAGAAGCUGCAGCAGCAGUGCUCUUGCCAGAGCUGUUCAUAAGCAAAGGCAGGAAACAGAAGCCAUGAAGGAGCAGCUUGUUUCCAGUUCCUGAGAGGUCCUGAAUUGGUACUGAAAGGGAAGCAACCCUAGAAGUAAAGGCUCAAGAAAUAGUAACCUCCCUAGCUGGGAGAAGAGCCAGGCCAUGGGAGCAAAGAGGGAAAGGACUGAAAUCUCUGUGUUAGAGAAACACAUUGCAUGUUCAGUAAAGGGCAGCACUGCUGAGUUUUGCAAUGCCAGGUGAAGGACCAGUGUCCUCUGGCACUGGCUGAUGUGUCUGCUCAUAAGCCUCACUGUCAGUCCCAGAGCAAGAGUCUUUUCAUGGAAAAAGCAAUCUUCAAAGCCUGUAGAUGCCCAGAAGGUGCAGGAGCUCCUGUCACUGUCAUAGGUACCCACAGACCCACACCACAAAUAUCAAAAGCAGCGACUUGCAGAGAUUUCUGUGGUGAAGGCUACAUUUCAGUCAGCUUUUCAGGUAUCAUCUGAUUUCCUGACCACACAAACCACCUGUCUUCUUACCAUUCCUGCAAACAUUCAUCUUAUUUUGAUGCCAUGCACUGAUAUGUACAGAUAACACAUUAAAUUACUACAAAUCAUUCUCUUAUGGAUUGUUUUAGAAACAGAAUGUUAAGGGGUUGGAAGGGAAUUUAAAGACCACCUACUCCCAACUCCAUUGCCAUGGGUAGGGACACUUUCCACUAGACCAGGUUGCUCCAAGCCUUAUCCAGCCUGGCCUUGAUCACUGCCAGAUUUGGGACAUCCACAACCUCCCUAGGCAAUCUGUUCCAGCAACUCACCAUCCUCACAGUAAAGACCUUUUUCCUAAUACCUCACUCAAAUUUCCCCUCUUGUAAUUUGUACCCACAUAUUUAAUAUAUUACAAUUCACUAUGUUUACCUGUCAAGCUAGUGAGAAGUUAGCAUACAAAUAUUUCCUCCAGCUAUUUUCUUACACUUCUACAAGACCUAAACCAUAAGGUUUAAGCACAUAGACUCUUAAGUAUCGUGGCACUGAAGGAAAAAUCAGAAGCUUGUCAGAUGAAAAUCAGAAGCCGGUCAAAUGAAAAAUCUCCUGCCAUGUACCUUACUAGACCUUCCUGCUUUUAGGAAUUCCAUGUACAGAGGUUAGACCCAAUGUUGAUCAGAGAGAAUCUAACUACCCUACAAGAGAAUGUGUCCUGUGAAGCAUCUCAGUGGGCUCAAACCAAGGAGAGUGAGCCUUGGAAGGUCUGAAGUUUCAGCCUGAGGAAGAAUGCAGUAAGGAAAAACUGUUGUUCUGAACCUGCUGAGUGUGAAAAGCUGAGUUGUGGCUUGCUCCUGUGACACUGCUCUUCCUUGUUCUCCGUCCUUCAGGUAAAAAUAUAGUGAGAAACAAGUUAAGCCCGAAGAGCAGUGUUCCCCUAUGAAAAAUGUUUAUACACAUCAAUUUCUUUCAUUACACAUGCUGUGUCUGUGAACAGCUGCCUGUUCACCAUCACAAAAUAUCAAAUAACUACAGAAAACAAACAAAGGAAAUAUUAGCUUUACUAAAGAUCAAUGAAACAGAGUUCUGUUACAUUAGCAGCAGAUUAGCUGCUACUAAAAAUUUAAAAAAGAAAAAAAGAGAAGCAUAACCAAGGUUGUCUUUCAGCCUGUAAAAACUCCUACAAAGAAGGAGCUUUAAUGAGUUAAACCAAUGCUCAGUCUUGGUUCUCAGGCAAAAGAGAAACCUUCAGCCCAAUGAAGAACAGGAUGGAAAAAGAAAAGGCAGUGGAUCAGUGCAUUAUUUGCCACAGUAGAUACCAGAGGCAUUAGUGGAAGUAGACCAUUUAUGAUUGAAAGCUUGUAGUCUAGAAAUUACUGCAAAGAAAAAAACAAAACAACAAAACCCCAACCAACCAACCAAAAACACUACCACCAUCUGUCUAUUAUGAAUUCCCAGAGUACCUGUGUGACUUUAGAUGUAUGAAUAAAUACUCUCCAUUUUGGAAUUUAAAUAUCUCCAAGUUUAGAAAAAGGUGAAUAUUUGCUCAUCUUCUGCUCAUGCCCAAAGAGACAUUAAUAUUCUUUGCUCUGGAUGGGCAAUGAUGCUUCACUUCUUGUGAUCCUAUUCUUCUUAAUAUCUCCACAUCCCAGUUUGAGGUCAGAACUACUAGAAGUGAUUAGGCUAAAGUGCUCAUGGAGUAAAAUAUGGUUGUAGCUUCCUUCUAACUCAACUUUUCUCUGUUCCUCUUCUCUGCUCUAAUACUGGAAUUCAGACUGCUGCAAACCUCUAAAAAAAUCAAUCGUUCAGGUGACAGACAACCUGUCAGAGAAGAGAAAAAACCAGAAGGCUUGAGGAGAGCUGGUUGUGUGCCCUCUAUAAACAUAUCUGUAUACACAUAUUGUUCCUGCUGGUGAUACAGCCAGAGUGCUUGACAAUAAAAACAUUGACCUGUGCUCAUUAAAGGGGCAGAUUAACCAAAGGUUACCAUGUUUGUGAAUGCUCCUAGGCUGCCUUUUUAUUCAAUGUAGGAGCCUGGCACAUGCAGAGACUGGCCUUUGUGAAGAACAAUUUGAUCUCCACAAAAUGUUCUUCACCUUCACAGAGACUGACAGCACACGAAGCAGCAAAGUAGUGGAAUAUCAUCUGUCAUUCACAUAUUCUUUUGUGCUCCACUGAAUAGAAGCACAGACGAUAUCUCUUCUCCAGUACUUUAUACAAAUGUGCAUGAGAGACUGAGUCCAAGACUGAUUUACAAGCAAUCAUGGAAUAUCCUGAAACUCAAAUUUUCUACUCAACAAAAAAGCUGAAGAAAUUGGUAGUAUGCUUACAUACUGUACACAACUAUAUAUCCCUUUCCCAAACAUGUUGUUUUUUAUUUCCUGUAUCUUAGCUUGCAAUCCUCCCAAGAAGAAACAAGAAGAGGAAAAACAUGCCUGCAGCCUCUCACUAGCUCAAAAACAAAGGCUCUCAGAGCUACAGAGCACACUGGGCUCAACUCAAAACCAGGAAUAAAGCAUUUAAAUGGGAAACCACCACUUAGGAGCUUACCUAAACACCAAGGAAAACAAAUCUGCUAGAAAAAGCAAGAGAUGUUUAAUACAGCCAUGCAACCUUUACCAAAUCUGGUUGUCACCUACUCUGCCUAUACCAAGCCUGUCCUCCUGGCUGUAUCAAGGGGGUGAUAUAAUUAAUUACUGAUGGUUUUCAGACCAUCACUGCACAUGUAGCUAGCGGGGAAAGUAUCCCUCCAAAUCAGCCCAGACUCCUGACAGUAGUAAUCAACUAGCAGCCACUGCAACUCUGUCUUUGAAUGACUCAGGCUUUUCUUCUUUGCUGAGGGAGCUACCUACAUAAACUGACAGCAAACAUUGUAAUGAUAAUUUUCUUGCUUAGUGUAUGCUGAUUCACUGCUGAUGCAACAAGUGUGAGACCUGCAAGUUAUUUUGAAAACAGGCCCCUCUCAGCAGCACCAUAAGUUCAUUUUAGUAAAAAAAAAAGACUGGAUUUCUCUCACGAAAUCUGUCUUUGAAAUUCUGGCUGCCUCAGUCUCUAAGGGGAAGUUUCUCUCCUUUCACACAAAGUACAUAAAUUCCAUUGGACAAUUUAAAAUGCAUGAGCCGUUCUGCAAUGAGUAAUUUGGUAAUAGGUAUUUUGGCAUUCAAUUCCCUGCAUUCAGUUCCCUUUUCUCUCUGUGAUCACUUACCCUGCUGUUGGAAUUCUUUCAAUGGAUGUAUGAAGGAGCCAUGUUAUGCACCAUGUCCGAAUUGUCUAGUUGGCUUUUUUUAUGGCCUACCUUUUCUGAGUGUUAACUCAGCUACCACUAGCGUGAAUAAAAUCGGAGAGCCGUGCCUUGUCUCUAUAAAGUGAGCACAAAUCAUAAUGCAGCCUUGAGGAAAAAGAUAAACAAAUUUCAACACUCCAAACUGUCAGAUCUCAGGCUUAUACUGCAGUUAAUCACAAAAGCUAAAAAAAAAAAAAAAAAAAAAAAAAAAAA
rnacentral:lncRNA from 1 species